AACUGAUACUACCUGCGGGAACCUGCGGAAGGAUCAUUAUCGAGGAGGGUCUCUAGGCCCGAUCUCCAACCCUUUUGAUAAAAUACCGUGUUGCUUUGGCAGGCCCGCCUGUGUGGCCGUGGGGGAUCAUUGGUCCCUAGCCUGUGCCUGCCAGUAGCCCUCGAAAACCCCUCAAAAUGUGUCGUCUGAGGAAUACAAUGAUGAAAAAAACUUUUAACAACGGAUCUCUAGAUCGGAAGA
rnacentral:misc_RNA from 1 species